GAUAAUCGAACAAAUCUGACCACCUAUUAUGUUGCUUAUCCAACUUUGACAGUUUUAAGUACAAUUUAUCUAUACUAUUAUGUUUCAUGUUGGAUAAGCAACAUAAUAGGUGGUCAGAUUUGUAUAGGUUAUU